UACGGGGGGGGGCAAGCGUUGUUCGGAAUUACUGGGCGUAAAGGGCUCGUAGGUGGCCAACUAAGUCAGACGUGAAAUACCCUCAGCUUAACUGGGGAACUGCGUCUGAUACUGGAUGGCUUGAGUUUGGGAGAGGGAUGCGGGAAUUCCAGGUGUAGCGGUGAAAUGCGUAGAUAGUCUGGAGGAACACCGGUGGCGAAGGCGGCAUCCUGGACCAAUACUGACACUGAGGAGCGAAAGCCAGGGGAGCAAACGGGG
rnacentral:rRNA from 1 species